ACGGCAGGAGCCAUCCACUGACUGGGCACCACUACAAAUAGUCCAUCUGCUUGUUGUUGUGCUGGUGCAGUGGCAGGUGCUGUCACCUCACAGUGCCAGGAGACUGGAAUCAGAUGUCUUCUUCUUCAUUGUCAAUUUAAAGGUGACUUAUAAGAUGAGGAUGUUGCAAUAACUUAGUUGUAUGUUUUUACAAAUGGAAUACAGGUGGGGUUCUAUAAUACAGACAGCCAUGGUCAGGGCUCCAGGCCUUUGCAUGGCACACUCAGUUUAGAGUCACCUGUUUACCUAGGCUGCAUGUCUUUGAGAAUGUGGCAGUAAAACCAGAGUACCCAGAGGAAAACCGAUACAGAUGUGAAAAUCUCCACAUGGACAAUGAUCAGGCAGAGAAGACAAAUCCAGGAGUCUGGAUCUGGGAAGCAGCUGCACUAAAGGCUAUCAGACAAGCAAUUUCAUGGAUGCGACUACUAUAUGGGCACAGCACAGAGAAGAACCACUGAAGGUACCCGACUCCGCCCUUUCCUGUUACGUGUCUGUAUAUCACGGGGUCAGCAGAAGGAGGCGGCACUCUGAGGGCAGAGCAUGGCACGGGUGGAGCUCCUGUCAUAUAACUUAAACAUAAUAAGAAGCCCAAAUGGGGCCAUUUUGGUUUGUGUGAUUUGGUACCUUUACACCAUUGGGCACCUGUAUUUGUUGUUAAAAUGCAUUGAAGUAAACAGGGACGACUAGGUUGGCACCCCAACAUUUCCUUGUCUGGUCCUUGCAAUUCUUUGCUUGUCCACA